GGCUGGGGCCUCCCCGCCUCGCUAGGCCCGGCCGUGGGGAGCCGGACUUCGGGCCUCGGCCCCGCUCUUCGGCCGGGAGCGCGCAGGCCGCCGAGGGAAGGCGUCGCCCGGUGCGCGGUGCCAGGAGGGGCGCCGGGGGGUGAAGCCUCAGAGCCCGUACGGCGGUUUGGUCCAGGACUACACGCACUGCGUGAAAGAAAAACAAAGUGCUGCACCAGCUUUCAGGAAACAGGUCUCUCAAUAGCGGUGCUUCUAAAAUAGUGUGUCACAAUCUCUGGGAGCUUUCUGCAGCUGAAAUGGUCCCCCUCUUAUGGACUUGAGAAAUCACUGUUUACCGGAUGAAUAAUGAAAAGCAGUAUGAGCACAUGCAAAUGGAGAUAACUUUUGGAUGAAACCACAGUGAAAGAUGUGUUGCAGGAACACACGUCGUUGACAGCUGGCUUGGGGGAAUAAAGUAGUCUGAAGUAAAGCCUCCCAAGUGUAUUGCUGUCAUGGGUCAUGGAAGUGAUCACAGGAUACACAGUAAAGGCUGGAAGCUUUAUCAGUACGAAAGCUGAGAAGCUGAGACUCUAACAUUAUCUUCUAAGAGAGCUGAGAUUUGGAGAGCAUUAAAGAUGAAGCAGGAAAAGCACAAUCUGGUGAUUUCUAAGGAAGAAGUGAUGCUUUUGAUCAACUGCUAUAUGUCGAACGAUCGAUGACAAUUUAGGUGGAUGAAGUGUUCACCUGCUCUCCAGGGGCACUUUGCGGUUGCUGUUAACUUCAGCAAGAGUGAAGUCAGACCUAAAGAUGCUUAUAAUUGUACUGCAGAGAGGAGGAUACUGCACCAAGCUACAGGGCCAUGGAAGUUUCCCAUUUUCCUUUCUGUAAAAAGAGCCCAUAUCAGAAGAGGACGUGAUGGUGUAAAGGAGCAUUGUAGUUUCUAGAACCCUAUGACAAAACUGCAAAAAUCGUGUAAUGUGAGUUAAUCAAAACAAAACGCGAUUGAAGACCAUGUCCAAUCUGAGUUUAUGUAACUGAGAAAUUGUUUCACAGAAUGUAAGAUGGUAGCAAAGAGUACACAGUGCUCUUUUUUUGUAGUAUCAAGAGAGCUGACUCAGCUUUUAAUUUCUUUUCAAGGGAUUAAAAAUAACUCUUACAAUACACAAGUGUUG